rnacentral:misc_RNA from 1 species
UUUCCGUAGGUGAACCUGAGGAAGGAUCAUUAUUGUAUAACCGAGGUGCGAGGGCUGUCGCUGACCCGAAAGGUCGUGCACGCCCGAGUGCCCUCACACACAUCCAUCUCACCCCUAUGUGCACCACCGCGUGGGUCCCCCUUUGGCUUGUUCGGAGGGGGGCUUACGUUUUCACACAAACUUUGUAUGCAGUGUAGAAUGUAUUUUUUGUUUUUGCGAUCACGCAAUCAAUACAACUUUCAACAACGGAUCUCUUGGCUCUA